ACCUUAUAUCUCAAUCUCAGCGAUUAACUCUUACUCUACACACUUCGUUGAAUCGCUAAACUCAUCAAUCAAUAAACUACCUAGUGUUAAUAACGCGCUGAUUCACCGACGACUAUACGCUGUUUCGGCCUCAUACAAAUGUUUUUAUGUACAUAUUGAGUAUGUAGGAAUAUUACGAUUUGCAAUUAUCUUUCGCAAUUCAGCGAACAGCACCAGCUGUUUAAGUACUUAAUCAGUGAAGCCGGUUAAGUGCAAAACCUGAAUGAAUCAUGUGGAUUGUGAGUUGUGGAUGCUAAACAGCUGUAAUACACACCAGUGCAAUACAUAUGACCGUUUCAAAAUAUGUAUGUUUGUUUGUACAUACACAAUUUACCACAGCAUUGAACCACCUUGCGGAAAAUUGAUUUUUCACCGAUUCUUCAGACAUAGUUUUCCAUCAAAAAUACGCUUAGAUAAAUAUAACACAGACUAUUUUCCAACAAUGCACUUACCGCAAAUAAAGUACUUAAAAAUGUCUGCCA